UAAUUAUUUUUGACGCCUACGACAGCGAUCAGCCGCUUAAAUGUUGAUGCUAGAUUUGUUUUUCAGAUUGUAACUGGGACACCUCUAAUAUUGAUGCUAGAUGUCUUUUUCUGAUUGUAACUGGUUCAGAUUGUUGGAACUAUGCAAUGAGGUGGUUCAAGAGGGUCAAAGGAUGUGAGUCAACUGCAAGGCAUGUUGUUUAAUUCCUUAAGAAGAUUCUCACCAGCAACCAUGAUGAUCAUAGUGAAUUGAGCGUCAUUUCUUCCGCUAUUGAUGCCCUUAAAAUCUCUCCCGUAGGAAUGAAGCUCAUUGUGCCUAUAUUGAACUCAUAAUCAUGUAUGACUUAUGAAUGAAAUGCUUAUUGGGUCUGUGCAAAGAAGUAGUUAGGUUACAAACAAAACGUAAAGGAUAUCGUCCAAGGUGUUCUAUUCCCUGGAUCUGGUUUAGACAAGGCAGUUGGCCUUGGGGGAGGCCCACGUGAGCUCUUUAUUGUUCGAGACCUCAAACCUAUUUUAGAUAUGUGAAUCUUGUUGACUGCCUUUCCAAGUUAAGUGCCAUGUCAGAUAUGUUCCAUCUGAAUUACGAGUAGUGGGAUUCAACAAGUUGUCGGUAAUUCCUUUCUUAUUUUCAUGUAGAAAUGUAGAUGAAAUACCAUGAUGAUAUUGAACAAGUAUAUAGGAAGUACCAUGGUAUUCAGUACCAAAAUAUGCUCAACUUUGAUCCAGAAUUGUAGUGAGAGACUUGCAGUUAUAGGAAGUUGUUUUUUAUUAUAAUUUUGAGUAACAUAUGUAAUUAUGACUGAGAUUGAUCAUGCUUGAAUUGUGCUUUCAUAUUUGAUGGAAAAUGAAAUGGCUGGCACCUCUUGCUAGGUACCUGUAUUCAGUUGUAAAAAGUGA